CGUGUAGGCGGCCUGGCAAGUUGGGUGUGAAAGCCCUCGGCUCAACCGAGGAAGUGCGCCCAAAACUACAAGGCUUGAGUACCGGAGAGGAUGGCGGAAUACCCGGUGUAGAGGUGAAAUUCGUAGAUAUCGGGUGGAACACCAGUGGCGAAGGCGGCCAUCUGGACGGAUACUGACGCUGAGACGCGAAAGCGUGGGUAGCAAACA
rnacentral:rRNA from 1 species